rnacentral:lncRNA from 1 species
AGAAUGCCCAAUUAGUUGUUCAAAACUACUAAUUGAAUCAAGAGUGAUCUUGAUUAUUGUGGUUUAAGUGAUAAUCAUAUAAGAAACGUUUUUCUUAUUACUUAUAUCAUCAUAAUGUGAUCUUCCUUUUCUUUAAGAAAGGAAUCUCUAGACCUUUGUCAAUUCAUAUAGAACUCAUAGGUAGACAAUUGGAACCAAAUCUAAAGAUUCAUUGUAUCCUUUUAUGUCCUACAUGUGAGAUCUAUCCAUAAUUGAUAAGUCUAAAGUUUGGUUAUCACAUUACAAUAAGUGAUAUAA